UACGGGGGGGGCAAGCGUUAUUCGGAAUUAUUGGGCGUAAAGGGCGCGUAGGCGGCCAUGCGUGUCUUCCGUGAAAUCCCUCGGCUUAACUGAGGACGUGCGGAAGAAACUGCAAGGCUCGAGUCCGGGAGAGGGGGGUGGAAUUCCCAGUGUAGCGGUGAAAUGCGUAGAUAUUGGGAGGAACACCGGUGGCGAAGGCGGCCCCCUGGACCGGUACUGACGCUGAGGCGCGAAAGCGUGGGUAGCAAACGGG
rnacentral:rRNA from 1 species